rnacentral:misc_RNA from 1 species
AACGCACCUUGCGCUCCUUGGUAUUCCGAGGAGCAUGCCUGUUUGAGUGUCAUUAAUAUUAUAUAUCAAACUCCCUUGUGUGGGGUAGUUUUGGAUGUGGGGGUUGCUGGCCUCUUGAAAGAGGUCAGCUCUCCUGAAAUGCAUUAGCAGAACAGCCUGUUUUGUUCAUUGGUGUGAUAACUAUCUACGCUAUAGAACCAUGAAGGCAAGUUCAGCUUCCUAACCGUCUCCGGACAAUUUAUCAUCUAUAUGUGACCUCAAAUCAGGUAGGACUACCCGCUGAACUUAA